GACGAACGCUGGCGGCGUGCCUAAUACAUGCAAGUCGAGCGGGGUUGUCGGAGUGGAGUCCUUCGGGAUGAAGCACCGCCAACCUAGCGGCGGACGGGUGAGUAACGCGUGGGUAACCUGCCCUAAAGCCCGGGAUAACACCGGGAAACUGGUGCUAACACCGGAUACCUUCCGAAGAGGGCAUCCUUUUUGGAAGAAAGGUUAACGCUUUAGGAUGGGCCCGCGUCCCAUUAGCUAGUUGGUGAGGUAACGGCUCACCAAGGCAGUGAUGGGUAGCCGGCCUGAGAGGGUGGACGGCCACACUGGGACUGAGACACGGCCCAGACUCCUACGGGAGGCAGCAGUAGGGAAUAUUGCGCAAUGGGCGAAAGCCUGACGCAGCGACGCCGCGUGGGUGAUGAAGGCCUUCGGGUUGUAAAACCCUGUCCUUGGGGAAGAAGGAAGUGACGGUACCCAAGGAGGAAGCCCCGGCUAACUACGUG
rnacentral:rRNA from 2 species